rnacentral:rRNA from 1 species
GCAUAAUCAUUUGCCCCUUAAUUAGGGGCUAGAAUGAAAGGAUACACGAAAUUCUUACUAUCUCAGUUUUAUUUUUAAAAAUUAAAUUUUAGGUGAAGAUGCCUUUAUUUUUUUGAAAGACAAGAAGACCCUAUAGAGUUUUAAUAGACUAUGUUUUAUAAAUCUAUUUUGGUUGGGGCGACCAAGGAAUAAUCUUCCUUACUUACAAUGAAUAAUACUUCUUUUCAUUAUCCUAUUAUAUAGAACAUAAAAUAAACUACCUUAGGGAUAACAGGCUUAUCUUUCUUAAAAGAUCACAUUGACAGAAAGGUCUGGCACCUCGAUGUUGGCUUAAAGAAUCCUUUAACCGCAACCGGUUAAAUGGUUGGUUCGUUCAACCAUUNANUCUUY